GCGUUCAAGGAGAGAGGCGUGGUCUAUCGGCCGCGAUUGUCCAACAUGGCGGCCUAGUUGAGCCCCUUUUGCCUUCUUCGUGCUGAGAGCCUCACAUUUGAUUAAAAUUUCUUUUGUUUUGCGGCGUCGAACAUGGACAUGAAGAAGAGGGUACACUUGGAGCUCAAGGACAGAAAUCCCGCUGAGGUGUGCGUGUUGGCGUUGGACACGUGUCGUUCCGGCAACGGCGAGGUGGACGGCGUGACAGAGGAGUUUUCGGGUCUGGAGGUUCUGCGCAUGGUCAACGUGGGCCUCACGUCGCUCUCCAAACUGCCGUCGCUGCCUAAACUACACAAGCUGGAGCUGAGCGACAACGCCAUAUGUGGAGGUUUGGAGGCGCUGGCCCAAAAAUGUCCCAACCUGACGCACCUCGACAUCAGUGGCAACGGGAUCAGCGACAUAGCCGCCCUGGAAGCGCUGAAGCCCCUGAAGAAGCUGAAGACUUUGGAUGCGUCGGGCUGCGAGGUUAGCACACGGGACGACUACCGCGACGGCGUCUUCCGCCUCCUGCCGCACGUCAUGUACCUGGAUGGCUACGAUCGCCAUGACAACAAGGCGCCACACUCGGACAACGGUAACAUCGGCGGUGCGCGAACGAACAACCUGCUCACGAAAUACCAGGACGACGGCGCCGGUCCGCACGGCGGCGACGACGAUGAAGACGACGAAGAUGAAGAUGAUGGUGAUGAUGUCUCUGAGGAGGAGGUGGGGCUGUCGUACCUGAUGAAGGAGGGCAUCCAGCCUGGAAGCAGCCGAGCUUCAUCCCGACCUUCCUCCGACGAAGACUGACAAAGUCCGACGAAGGCUAAGGUAACUCGUUUGCGGCUAGCUUUAGCUACAUUUAGCGAGCAAACAUGCUCCUUCGAUCCUUGUUACAUAAAAACAUAAUUUGGUCCCACGAGUUCACAUUACAAAGGAACAUCUGUUGCCAGUACUGAUUAGAAUUUUCCAUUUACAGCUCCUCCAUCUUGCAGGAAUUCAAGAGCCGCGAGUCGAACGGCUUUUAGGAUUGCGAUGAAGAAAAGUUAUGCAUCCAGCAGACGUUCGACUCCCAUUCCAGUACGCAGUGUAGACAAAAAACGGAACUGAAAGCUUUCUUUUCUCCACGUCCCACGACAGCGAUUUCAACAAUGUAUUUUUAUAGUCAUAGUUAUAUUUCUAAAUUGUACAGGUUGUGCUUCGAGCAGAAAUAGGGAUUGGUUUCAAGGAGAAGGAAUACCACAAAAGAUCCCAUUCACCGCCACCAAAUAACAAAAUCCAGAUGUGGAUAAAACUUGAAUAAAUAGGAAAUAGUAAUAAAAACCUGGACUAUUGAGCAAACGGUAGAGGGAGGAGAAUUUAGUGGGAAAAAGUGCAAGUGCGGGAAGUCCAUUUGUUCAUGCAUUUUUGUCUAAUGUAAAUUCUAUACACAUUUGUAAAUAAAUACUUUUUCUG